rnacentral:lncRNA from 1 species
UGUCACACUGAUCGGUUUGUUGAAGACGAAUCGAUUCAACUCUCCGUCCUCCAUUCCCAGAAUUUCCUGUUCACGGCAGUACAAGGACGGCAGCGCGAGCAAGACCCAUGGGAUUUCAUCAGCCACUCACCAUCAGAGUCCUCAGUGGAAGCUGAGAAGAGCAGAAGAGGAAGCCAAGCAAGAGAUGCCAGAAAAAAAGGGGGAAGGAAAUAAUGUGUUAUUUUGCUGUUUGAGUAUAGGCAGGCGCAGUGGGUAGCACAAUCGCCUCACAGCAAGAAGGUCGCUGGUUCGAGCCUCGGCUGGGUCAGUUGGCAUUUCUGUGUGGAGUUUGCAUGUUCUCCCCAUGUUGGCGUGGGUUUCCUCCGGGUGCUCCCACAAGUCCAAAAAUAUGUGGUGACAUUGGGUAAGGUAAAAUUGUCCGUAGUGUAUGUGUGUGAAUGAGUAUGUAUGGAUGUUUCCCAGUGAUGGGUUGCAGCUGGGUGGCAACACGGUGGCACAGUAGGUAGUGCUGUUUCCUCACAUCAAGAAGGUUUCUGCAUGGAGUUCUCCCUGCGUUCGCGUGGGUUUCCUCCGGGUGCUCCGGUUUCCCUCACAGUCCAAAGACAUGCGGUACAGGUGAAUUGGGUAGACUAAAUUGUCCGUAGUGAAUGCGUGUGAGUGGGUGUGUAUGGAUGUUUCCCAGAGAUGGGUUGCAGCUGGAAGGGCAUCCACUGCGUAAAACAUAUGCUGGAUAAGAUGGUGGUUUAUUCCACUGUGGCGACCCCAGAUUAACAAAAGGACAAAGCCGAAGAGAAAAUGAAUGAGUAUAGGCAAUGAUAGACAAGACAAUGUUUGAUUAAUAUGAAGUCUUUUAAAAUGCUUAUUUAUUAAAAUAAAGGUUACAAAGUAAAGAAGAAA